UGAGAGGUGUAGCUCAGCUGGUUAGAGCGCACCCCGCUGCGAAAGCAGGCUAAAGAGUGGGUGAGGUCGGCAGUUCAAGUCUGCUCCACUGAA
rnacentral:tRNA from 1 species